rnacentral:rRNA from 1 species
UGCAAGUCGAACGGUAACAUGAGUGCUUGCACUUGAUGACGAGUGGCGGACGGGUGAGUAAUGUAUGGGGAUCUGCCGAAUGGAAGGGGACAACAGUUGGAAACGACUGCUAAUACCGUAUAAUGUCGUGAGACCAAAGCAUGGGACUUUCGGGCCAUGCGCCAUUUGAUGAACCCAUAUGGGAUUAGCUAGUAGGUGGGGUAAAGGCUCACCUAGGCGACGAUCUCUAGCUGGUCUGAGAGGAUGACCAGCCACACUGGAACUGAGACACGGUCCAGACUNNUACGGGAGGCAGCAGUGGGGAAUAUUGCACAAUGGGGGGAACCCUGAUGCAGCCAUGCCGCGUGUAUGAAGAAGGCCUUCGGGUUGUAAAGUACUUUCGGUGAUGAGGAAGGCGGUGUAUCUAAUAGGUGCAUCGAUUGACGUUAAUCACAGAAGAAGCACCGGCUAACUCCGUGCCAGCAGCCGCGGUAAUACGGAGGGUGCGAGCGUUAAUCGGAAUGACUGGGCGUAAAGGGCAUGUAGGCGGAUAAUUAAGUUAGGUGUGAAAGCCCUGGGCUCAACCUAGGAAUUGCAUUUAAAACUGGUUAUCUGGAGUAUUGUAGAGGAAGGUAGAAUUCCACGUGUAGCGGUGAAAUGCGUAGAGAUGUGGAGGAAUACCGGUGGCGAAGGCGGCCUUCUGGACAGAUACUGACGCUGAGAUGCGAAAGCGUGGGGAGCAAACAGGAUUAGAUACCCUGGUAGUCCACGCUGUAAACGAUGUCGAUUUGGAGUUUGUUGCCUAGAGUGAUGGGCUCCGAAGCUAACGCGAUAAAUCGACCGCCUGGGGAGUACGGCCGCAAGGUUAAAACUCAAAUGAAUUGACGGGGGCCCGCACAAGCGGUGGAGCAUGUGGUUUAAUUCGAUGCAACGCGAAGAACCUUACCUGGUCUUGACAUCACAGAAUCUUGUAAAAUACGAGAGUGCCUUCGGAACUGUGAGACA